CAAUAGCGUAUAUUAAAGUUGUUGCGGUUAAAAAGCUCGUAGUUGGAUUUCUGCUGAGAACGACCGGUCCGCCCUUUGGGUGUGUAUCUGGCUCUUUCUUGGCAUCUUCUUGGUGAACGUUGCUGCACUUGACUGUGUGGAGCGCUACCCAGGACUUUUACUUUGAGGAAAUUAGAGUGUUUCAAGCAGGCAUACGCCUUGAAUACAUUAGCAUGGAAUAAUAAGAUAGGACCUCGGUUCUAUUUUGUUGGUUUCUAGAGCUGAGGUAAUGAUUAAUAGGGAUAGUUGGGGGCAUUCGUAUUUAACUGUCAGAGGUGAAAUUCUUGGAUUUGUUAAAGACGGACUACUGCGAAANCANNNGCCAAGGACGAUCCCAUNAA
rnacentral:rRNA from 1 species